ACGAACGCUGGCGGCGUGCUUAACCCCUGCAAGUCGAACGGAAAGGCCCUGCUUUUGUGGGGUGCUCGAGUGGCGAACGGGUGAGUAACACGUGAGUAACCUGCCCUUGACUUUGGGAUAACUUCAGGAAACUGGGGCUAAUACCGGAUAGGAGCUCCUGCUGCAUGGUGGGGGUUGGAAAGUUUCGGCGGUUGGGGAUGGACUCGCGGCUUAUCAGCUUGUUGGUGGGGUAGUGGCUUACCAAGGCUUUGACGGGUAGCCGGCCUGAGAGGGUGACCGGCCACAUUGGGACUGAGAUACGGCCCAGACUCCUACGGGAGGCAGCAGUGGGGAAUAUUGCACAAUGGGCGGGAGCCUGAUGCAGCAACGCCGCGUGCGGGAUGACGGCCUUCGGGUUGUAAACCGCUUUCGCCUGUGACGAAGCGUGAGUGACGGUAAUGGGUAAAGAAGCACCGGCUAACUACGUG
rnacentral:rRNA from 1 species